CCUACGGGGCGCAGCAGUCGAGAAUCAUUCACAAUGGGGGAAACCCUGAUGGUGCGACGCCGCGUGGGGGAAUGAAGGUCUUCGGAUUGUAAACCCCUGUCAUGUGGGAGCAAAUUAAAAAGAUCGUACCACAAGAGGAAGAGACGGCUAACUCUGUGCCAGCAGCCGCGGUAAUACAGAGGUCUCAAGCGUUGUUCGGAAUCACUGGGCGUAAAGCGUGCGUAGGCUGUUUCGUAAGUCGUGUGUGAAAGGCGCGGGCUCAACCCGCGGACGGCACAUGAUACUGCGAGACUAGAGUAAGGGAGGGGGAACCGGAAUUCUCGGUGUAGCAGUGAAAUGCGUAGAUAUCGAGAGGAACACUCGUGGCGAAGGCGGGUUCCUGGACAUUAACUGACGCUGAGGCACGAAGGCCAGGGGAGCGAAAGGGAUUAGAUACCCUUGUAGUC
rnacentral:rRNA from 1 species